GGAGACCGACGCUCGCGAUUGUCUGGAUACGUGGCAGACCGAGGAUAUCUUCGCAGUCGUAGCUACGCAUGUAGAGGAGCCACACAGCGUAGCCGAGGAGUGUAAGAGAUAGAAAGAAGGUGCAGAUGGGAAGUACCCCGAUGGCGAAAAGGUUCAUGAUUGUGACCAAUGUUCCAGCGGGUGGCUUAUCGCUUUGUGACUCCAUCUGGUCGGAGCUUUUUGCUUCUGGCUCACUCGUUGUUGUUAUUGCGGUUGCCGUGGCGGUGGUGGUUGCAGCUGGUUCCUCAACGGGUACUACUUGGGCACUAUCAGCCAUGGAGAAAGUGAAAGAAAUGUCUCUAUGGAGGUGUUUUGUUUGACAUUAGGAAUGUAUAAAAGAGAAAGAUCAUAAGUAUAGGUGUAUCAGGGGUGGGUUUUACAGAGUCAAAUGUAAGUUGGAGAGAAAUCCGGACACUUUGAUUAAGUACAAGCUGAUCCUGACCGAAUAUUUUGCUAUAUUCAAGCCCUUUUUGGUCUUUUUAGUCGGUAUGGAUUUAUCCCCUGUUCUAAAAAUCGGUCCGAUUCAUGCCAAAUCGGUGAAAAAAAAAAUCAUGCCAUAUCCGAUUUUUUUCCGCCUAGACCGCCUAAAUGACCGCCUAGCCGCCUAAAUGACCGCCUAGCCGCCUAGGCGGCCGCCUAAUCAAUUUUUUUUGGCCAUCCUAGUUUAAAUGCUUAUAUAAAUAACCAGAGCUCGAUGCUCUCAAUAAUGUCACAUAACACACAACUUUCAACCCAAAAAAAAAAAUCUCCAUACCUUUUCUUGAGAUUAGAGAGAACCCUAUCGUUAGAUCUCUCCAUCUCUCUCUCUUUGUUUUGACUUCCACAAACAGAGCAACAUCUUUCUCUUAGUAUUGCUUGAAACUGGAGCAAUCUUUAAGGUUAUAUAGACCAAUAAGAGUGAGAGAAGAUCUAGUCAUAAACAAAUCAAGAAAUUUCUAACUUCGAGGAGGUAACGAAAAGGGUUUAAGAGAAUAAGAAUGGUAGCUUUUUCAGCUUGGCCUUGGGGAAACUUUGGCAAUCUAAAGGUUUGAUCUGACUUCUCAAAAGGUCUGGUUUCUCGUGUGAAUCUCAUAUGUGUUUUUCUUGUCUGUGUAGUAUCUUCUCUACGCUCCGUUAGCUGCACAAGUAGUGUACUCAUGGGCGUACGAACAAGACUACUCGAGGGCUCUUUGGUGUCUUCAUAUCCUCAUCAUCUGUGGACUCAAAGGAUUCCUUCAUGUUCUUUGGAGCGUUUACAACAACAUGCUUUGGGCGUCUCGCACUCUAAGGAUUAACCCUAAUGGCGUCGACUUUAAGCAGAUUGAUCACGAAUGGCACUGGUAAAUCCCUCUCAAGUAACAUUUUGGGUACAUAUUAUAAUAAUAAUAAUAACUUGUCCUAAAAUCAAUAUUUUUAAGAUGUUACUCUGUUCUUGCUAUGGUCUUAAAUACCCAUAAAACCACCAAAGGUAUCGUUUUGAUCUGUGGGUUUUAUUUCAGGGACAACUACAUACUUCUGCAAGCAAUAAUAGCUAGCAUUAUCUGUUACAUGUCUCUUCCAUUGAUGACGAUUAACAGUAUACCUCUGUGGAACACGAAAGGACUCGUUGCAUUAAUUGUGCUACAUGUGACCUUCUCAGAGCCAUUAUACUACUUUCUUCACAGAACUUUUCAUAGUAACACCUACCUCUUCACGCAUUACCACUCCUUCCAUCACUCAUCUCCUGUGCCACAUCCCAUGACUUGUACAUUUUCAUCACUAAUAACCUUAUUCAAAAAUUCAUUCUUGUUUGUUGUAAUAUAACAAUAUUUUAUCUAUUGGGUGCAGCUGGAAAUGCGACGUUACUGGAAAGCCUUAUCCUCUGCGUCGUAGCUGGAGUUCCUUUGGUUGGAUCUUGCUUGCUAGGUGUUGGAUCAUUAGGGUUGAUCUACGGAUAUGCUAUUAUGUUUGAUUUCCUAAGAUGUUUAGGACAUUGUAACGUUGAAAUCUUCUCUCACAAGCUAUUCGAGACACUUCCAAUCCUUCGAUAUCUCAUCUACACUCCAACGUAUGCCGUUGACACUUUUAUUACCCUUUCGGCAAAGUAUUCACAUGUCAUUUUUCUUUUUGGAUUUGGUUAGGACACAUAAACAUGACUUAAUUUUGUCUUCUUUUUUUUUUUUACUUUAAGAAGCAAAAUUGCCAAGAUUGUAUUAGCUAUGAAAUAUGCCUAUCGAAAGUAAUUGGUGGUGUUACAUUUUUAGUUGCAUCACAAUGAUUUUACAGUGUAAUGAUUUAAAAAAUAUCUUUAAAAAGUUGAUUUUCUUGGUGGGGUUUAUGCAGGUACCAUAGUCUGCAUCAUCAUGAGAUGGGGACCAACUUUUGUCUAUUCAUGCCUAUCUUUGAUGUCUUGGGCAACACACUUAACUCAAACUCGUGGGGACUCCAAAAGAAGAUUCGCUUGUCUGCAGGUAAAUAUAGCAAACCUACUCCACGCAGUUUUUGUUUUUGUUUUUGUUUUUGUUUUGCAUAUCUAGCCCAAAGCCUGAACACACGAAUCUGUUACUAGACUAGUUGAAUGAAUGAAUACCAAACAGUUUAAUGGCAAUUUAUGAGGGACAUUAGUAGAAAUAGAGUUUGUACUUUGUGCAACCAAAGUGGGUGAGAAUUUUCUAUUUCUGGUCAAAGUCAAACCUCUUGAGCCAAAAGACAUUGUUACCCCUUCUUUAACCUGAAAACUACAGUUUUGUUUUAACUAACUUUGAUGUCCGUGUGUAGGGGAACGGAAGAGAGUGCCGGAGUUUGUGUUCUUGGCUCACGGGGUAGAUGUGAUGUCGGCGAUGCAUGCUCCGUUUGUGUUCAGAUCGUUUGCUUCAAUGCCAUACACAACGAGGCUCUUCUUGCUGCCCAUGUGGCCAUUCACGUUCAUGGUGAUGUUGGGCAUGUGGGUCUGGUCAAAGACUUUUCUUUUCAGCUUCUAUACCCUCAGGAACAAUCUUUGCCAGACUUGGGGAGUUCCAAGAUUCGGGUUCCAAGUAAAUGCCUCUGCUUUUUUUUCAGUUUUACCCUCUAAAAACAGACAGAACAGAGUGUUUUUACAGAGCAUUUUCCUCUGUUUUUGCAGUACUUUUUACCGAUUGCUAAACAAGGAAUUAACAACCAGAUCGAGAAUGCGAUUCUUAGGGCUGAUAAGAUUGGUGUUAAAGUUAUAAGCUUGGCUGCUUUGAACAAGGUUUGUGUCGGAACCGAAGUCUCAAAAAAAAAGUCUGAAACUUUUGAGUCAAGUCACUAAAAGGGUUGGUUUUGUUUGAGUGUUUGCUCAGAACGAAGCUCUAAAUGGUGGUGGGACGUUGUUUGUCAACAAGCAUCCUGACCUUAGAGUUCGUGUGGUCCACGGGAACACAUUAACCGCAGCAGUGAUUCUUAAUGAGAUUCCAAAAGAUGUGAAAGAGGUGUUCUUGACAGGAGCCACUUCUAAGCUGGGAAGAGCCAUCGCUCUCUACCUCUGUCGUCAGGGAGUGAGAGUUCUCGUAAGUUUUUUUUACUAAUGUCUCGAAUGUACGGUUUAAUAUAGUAUCCCAAAGUCUGACAUAUGUUGGAACCAAUUGACAGAUGUUGACACUAUCGGUGGAAAGAUUCCAAAAGAUUCAGAAAGAAGCUCCUGUUGAGUUCCAGAACUACCUUGUACAAGUGACCAAAUACAACGCUGCUCAAAACUGCAAGGUAGUGUAUUUGAGUUCUAACUGGUUUUCAUUUGUUGUGUAAAUGUAAAUGUAUUGACUUUGGGGUGUUUGAAUUAUGUAUAAUGCAGACUUGGAUCGUUGGGAAAUGGUUAACGCCAAGGGAGCAGAGCUGGGCUCCUAAAGGAACGCAUUUCCACCAGUUUGUGGUGCCACCAAUCCUCAACUUCAGGAGGAACUGCACUUACGGGGAUCUAGCUGCAAUGAGGCUCCCUGAAGAUGUUCAAGGGCUAGGAACCUGCGAGGUUUAAAGAAUGUUUGGUUUACAAUAGUCUUGAUUGUCUCUUUAGCCCUUUGGUACACCUGACUAAAACUUUAUGUGUGUAUGUUGUGGCAGUACACAAUGGACAGAGGGGUGGUGCAUGCAUGCCAUGCAGGAGGAGUGGUUCAUAUGCUGGAAGGUUGGGAGCAUCAUGAGGUCGGAGCCAUUGACGUUGACCGUAUUGAUUUGGUGUGGGAAGCAGCCAUGAGACACGGCCUUCGCUCUGUUUCUUCACUCACAAGAUGAGUGAGAUGUGCUCUUAAAUUGUUAUCUUUGACUCUCCCAAGAUUGGUCAUUCUUUGUAAAGGUGAAGCAUGCAAGCAGGUUGAAAAAAAUAAGUAGAAUUUUCACCGUAUGUUAUUGUUUCACCUUUUAUUUAAGAUGUAUUUCACUUUAUAACAAUUUCCCUAAAUAGUAUCGACAAAGCUUUUAAUUAUCCAGCCUGAUCACUCCUCUGGUGGUACUUGGUAGUUAGGACAAUGAAAGAACAAAGUGUCUUCAAUGUUCCUGUCCUGUACUCACAUUUGAUUUUAUUAGAGACAAUGUUACUUUGAAGCCCCCUGCUUUAAAGAUGAAAUAAUGGACCAAAGAGCUUGCUUUUGGCUUCUAAAUCAAACCAAUUGUUGAUACUUUAUUACAAACAUCUGCUUGAGUACUAAAAAGAAUGCAGAAGAAAGAGAUUAUUUUACCACACAGAAAAAAAAAGAAACUCUCCUAAUUAGAAAGACCAUCAUGAUGGUGAUUAACCCUUGAAACGUUCCCAAAAGGUGGCCAAGAAGAUCAAUAGGUGAGAGAUGAGAAGAAGAAUGGAGAUGACUAUCAAGAAGACACCUAGCUGCCACCAUUUCCUCCUUACAGAUCUUACGAAUCCUAACUUGCAAGACCUACAAUCAUAACACAACACGCUCCAAUCAUUCCUCCACAGCUGACAGUCACUUAGUCUUCCGACCAUGCCCCCGUACAGCACCUCCGUCUUCAAUGGUUGUCCCUCGUCUUUUCUUCUAUACCAAAACGUCGUGUUUAAAGCGUCCAUGUUGCAUGUCUCUGGAGGCAUGCAGCAUCCAUUCUACAAGAACAACAAAUAUCAAAACAACUUGUGUAAUUAACCUACUAGUUUAAAGAUCCUAUGGUACAUGAUCCUCUCAAACUAUUUGAAAAUCUUGUAAACAUGAUAAUAUGAUAUAUACAUUAUUCAUUUGAUAAUUGUGGAUUCUAAUAUUUUGGAGAUACAAUUUAAUAAGAAUUUUUAACGAUAUAUUUAUGUAUAUUAACUAUAAAACUUUUAUGGAUUAUACGUAAAUGUUUCAAUUACCUAUGUCAUCAUGCAUGUUAGAAUGCACCGGAUGCACAUGGUAAAAGAUGGUUAUGAUCUCAAACUGUAAAAAUAUCUACAAUGAACAAACCUUUAUUGGUGGCAAUUUUCUUCUAUUAUAAGGUUUAUCUUUUGGAGAUCCAUAAACAAGCUCGUUGCAUGCACCUUUAUCGUAGACACACGAUUUGAUAUUGUUCCAGUUUACAUUAUCCAUCACUUUGAGUUUAAACCACGUCCCAGUCGCCGGAAACCGCCUGGUCUGCAUCUCGUUGACUCCGGCGUACGCCAGACCGAUGAAUAGCAUUAGCAAAAGGAUCACAAACAUCACAACGAGUGCUGGCAUCGGAAACUUCCGUCGGAGAAACAGAGCUACAUUGCUGACGACGAAGACGGCGAGGAGACCGACGCUCGCGAUUGUCUGGAUACGUGGCAGACCGAGGAUAUCUUCGCAGUCGUAGCUACGCAUGUAGAGGAGCCACACAGCGUAGCCGAGGAGUGUAAGAGAUAGAAAGAAGGUGCAGAUGGGAAGUACCCCGAUGGCGAAAAGGUUCAUGAUUGUGACCAAUGUUCCAGCGGGUGACUUAUCGCUUUGUGACUCCAUUUGGUCGGAGCUUUUUGCUUCUGGCUCACUCGUUGUUGUUAUUGCGGUUGCCGUGGCGGUGGCGGUUGCAG
rnacentral:lncRNA from 1 species